GGAUACUUAAGGGGAUACACAACGGCCUCCUUAACAGCGGUUUUACAUUCCUCUAGGCCUAUAACGUCAUCCCAAUGUACAUUUAAUUUGUUUACUAUGAUCUCCUGUGACGAUACAAAGAUAAAAUGGCGUCUUCUCUAUAUUAACAGCGGCCGUGCAGUGACUUACAAAAGUUCCGAACGGUUCCAUCCUGGGCGGACGGUUAAUUGCGUUCGGUACUUCGAGGCAGGAAGGUGAGUACAGAAUCGCUCCUCUUAGUACUCUUAUUAGAAGUGUUAUCAUCGAAUAUAAGUUUUUUCAAUAAAUUCUUAUCGUUUUACAAUCUUUCUAGAAUACAAUGACGUCAGCAAUCGAUCAUUUUCGCGAAUUUAUUGUAAAAUAAUUGGGGGAAUAUCUGGAGUUCUUUAUCGGUUUCGACUGUAAAAUCAGCAACUAUUCGAAUUUUUCAUUCAUAAUUGUGACAUUUUCGACUCUUCCGUUGCCAAGACUCUCUUGAGAGAUUUUUGGCACGUUCCAUCACCCUUGUUAAACGAGUGCACAUUGGUGGAUAUAUUGAUUUUAAAAACCAAUACGUGUACGAGAUUUAUUAUCUCACUGGGACAAAGAAAUCCGUUUUAUUCGCGAAUUUUCCGUGUUUCUUCUUAAUUUUCGUGAGUGUCUGGCGCGGAGCAUUAUUUGAAUGAACUUUUCAUCGUUCAGAUUAUAUUUCGUUUAAAAAGAUUGAAAUUGAUGUCGAGAAGAAAUGAAACAAGGUGCUCGGGCAUUCUUUCGUUU